AGAGUUUGAUCAUGGCUCAGGACGAACGCUGGCGGCGUGCUUAACACAUGCAAGUCGAACGGUAAGGCCCUUCGGGGUACACGAGUGGCGAACAGGUGAGUAACACGUGGGUAAUCUGCCCUGCACAUCGGGAUAAGCCUGGGAAACUGGGUCUAAUACCGAAUAGGACCACAGGACACAUGUCCUGUGGUGGAAAGCUUUUGCGGUGUGGGAUGGGCCCGCGGCCUAUCAGCUUGUUGGUGGGGUGAUGGCCUACCAAGGCGACGACGGGUAGCCGGCCUGAGAGGGUGUCCGGCCACACUGGGACUGAGAUACGGCCCAGACUCCUACGGGAGGCAGCAGUGGGGAAUAUUGCACAAUGGGCGAAAGCCUGAUGCAGCGACGCCGCGUGGGGGAUGACGGCCUUCGGGUUGUAAACCUCUUUCACCAUCGACGAAGGUCCGGGUUUUCUCGGGCUGACGGUAGGUGGAGAAGAAGCACCGGCCAACUACGUGCCAGCAGCCGCGGUAAUACGUAGGGUGCGAGCGUUGUCCGGAAUUACUGGGCGUAAAGAGCUCGUAGGUGGUUUGUCGCGUUGUUCGUGAAAUCUCACGGCUUAACUGUGAGCGUGCGGGCGAUACGGGCAGACUUGAGUACUGCAGGGGAGACUGGAAUUCCUGGUGUAGCGGUGGAAUGCGCAGAUAUCAGGAGGAACACCGGUGGCGAAGGCGGGUCUCUGGGCAGUAACUGACGCUGAGGAGCGAAAGCGUGGGGAGCGAACAGGAUUAGAUACCCUGGUAGUCCAA
rnacentral:rRNA from 1 species